rnacentral:rRNA from 1 species
GACGAACGCUGGCGGCGUGCUCAACACAUGCAAGUCGAACGGUGAUGGCCAGCUUGCUGGUCUGAUCAGUGGCGAACGGGUGAGUAACACGUGAGCAACCUGCCCUUGACUCUGGGAUAACCACGGGAAACGGUGGCUAAUACCGGAUAUGAGACGCACAGGCAUCUGUAGCGUCUGGAAAGAUUUAUCGGUCAGGGAUGGGCUCGCGGCCUAUCAGCUUGUUGGUGGGGUAAAGGCCUACCAAGGCGACGACGGGUAGCCGGCCUGAGAGGGCGACCGGCCACACUGGGACUGAGACACGGCCCAGACUCCUACGGGAGGCAGCAGUGGGGAAUAUUGCACAAUGGGCGCAAGCCUGAUGCAGCGACGCCGCGUGAGGGAUGACGGCCUUCGGGUUGUAAACCUCUUUCGGCACAGACGAAGCGCAAGUGACGGUAUGUGCAGAAGAAGGAUCGGCCAACUACGUGCCAGCCGCCGCGGUAAUAC